AAACAAGAAGAAUCAGGACUGAAUAAACUGCUGUUAGAAGGACUGGUGGUCGCAUCGUUCUUGCUGGUCGAGAGCGGGCGCGACACUUCAGCAUUUCUUUUGUUCUGUUGCUGUCUUCAAGUCUCUGCUCAGGAACACCUUCCAAGCAAGAUGAAGAAAACCACGCCCAUAGUGAAUGACUCACUCUGAAUCAGCCGACCACCAGAUCCUGAGCCCUUCAGCAAUGCAGCUCACCAUGUUGGCUUCUUUCCUGAGACAUGGAAUCUCAAGGCAGUGUGAAGCCAUUCAGCACUGCGGUCUGGCCAGCCUGCAUAAAUCGCCUGCUCUCUUUCACAGCCUUCCCUGAAAAUAAAGCGACUGCACACAGACGGCGGCGGCGUAUGAAAAUAAAGCCAGGGCUUCCUCCAAGCCUUUCUGCUUGCAUAGCAGUGCAGUGUAUUUCAAUUAACAUCCAACCUUCUCCAACAGUGCUACUUCAGUAUUUGUAAGAGCCUGCCUUUUAGAAUUUAAUACUCAGACAGCCAUUUUGCAAAAAAAAAAAAAAAACA
ensembl:antisense Gm13269 predicted gene 13269